rnacentral:rRNA from 1 species
CCACACCGUAAACGAUGGAUACUAGGUAUUGGAGAGAAAAGUUCAGUACCUAAGUUAACGCGAUAAGUAUCCCACCUGGGGAGUACGACCGCAAGGUUAAAACUCAAAGGAAUUGACGGGGGCCCGCACAAGCAGUGGAGUAUGUGGUUUAAUUCGAAGAUACGCGAAGAAUCUUACCAAGGCUUGACAUAUACAUGAUGUAUAUAGAGAUAUAUAUUUUCUUAGGAACAUGUAUACAGGUGGUGCAUGGUUGU